AUGGCUGUCGUGAAUUUUGUCAAGCCGCACAUUGGGCAGAGCCCAAAGCUACAGGGGCGUACUCCGAGGAGGGGCAGCGGCGUGGUCAGGAGCUCGCUGCAGGGCGCCGUCGUCGGGAACAGGGCGGAGUGGCUGACCAGCUGCGCGGUGCUCUCCAGCAAGGUGGCCGCGCUCGCCCCCCACUCCACCAACGGACACCUCGCGCUGGCGGUGGCGGCUUCGAACGGGGCGGUGCUGGACUUGGUCCCUGUGAAGACUGUUGAUGGCAGCGCACGCAGCCUGCCGGCGCCCCUGCGGAUCGCGGACCUGUCCCCGGCGCCCAUGCACGGCUCGGAGCUGCGCGUGGCGUACCAGGGCGUGCCUGGGGCGUACAGCGAGAAGGCGUCCGCAAAAGCCUACCCGGGCUCCGACGCCAUCCCGUGCGACCAGUUCGAGGUGGCUUUCCAGGCCGUGGAGAACUGGGUCGCGGACCGCGCCGUGCUCCCCGUGGAGAACUCGCUCGGCGGCAGCAUCCACCGCAACUACGACCUCCUGCUCCGCCACCGCCUGCACAUCGUCGGCGAGGUGCAGCUCCCCGUGCACCACUGCCUCCUCGCGCUCCCGGGCGUGCGCAGGGAGGACAUCACCCGCGUCAUCAGCCACCCGCAGGCGCUGGCGCAGUGCGAGCACACGCUCACCCGCAUGCCCGGCCUCAACGCUGCCCGCGAGGCCUUCGACGACACGGCCGGCGCCGCCGAGUACGUGGCCGCCAACGGCCUCCGCGACACGGCUGCCAUCGCGUCCUCCCGCGCCGCCGAGCUGUACGGCAUGGAGGUGCUCGCCGACGGCAUCCAGGACGACUCCGGCAACGUCACGCGGUUCGUGAUGCUGGCCCGGGAGCCCAUCGUGCCGCGCAUGGACCGCCCCUUCAAGACCAGCAUCGUGUUCGCGCACGACAAGGAGGGCACCUCCGUGCUCUUCAAGGUGCUAUCCGCCUUCGCCUUCCGUGACAUCAGCCUCACCAAGAUCGAGAGCCGGCCGCACCGGCCCAUCCGCCUUGCCGACAGCAGCACCGCCCCGAAGCAGUUCGAGUACAUGUUCUACGUGGACUUCCAGGCCUCCCUCGCCGACCCGCGCGUGCAGAAUGCACUCGCUGAGGUGCAGGAGUUCACGUCAUUCUUGCGGGUGCUCGGGAGCUACCCCAUGGACAUGACACCUAUGGCUGCCGGCGUUGCCUCAUCUGAAUCCUCGUCGGCUUAUUCGUCUUCUUGA
rnacentral:rRNA from 1 species